UGGGGAAUCUUGGACAAUGGGCGCAAGCCUGAUCCAGCCAUGCCGCGUGAGUGAAGAAGGCCUUAGGGUUGUAAAACUCUUUCGCCGGAGAAGAUAAUGACGGUAUCCGGAGAAGAAGCCCCGGCUAACUUCGUGCCAGCAGCCGCGGUAAUACGAAGGGGGCUAGCGUUGUUCGGAAUUACUGGGCGUAAAGCGCACGUAGGCGGGUCUGUAAGUAGAGGGUGAAAUCCCAGGGCUCAACCCUGGAACUGCCUUCUAGACUGCAGGCCUGGAGGUCAGGAGAGGCGAGCGGAAUUCCGAGUGUAGAGGUGAAAUUCGUAGAUAUUCGGAGGAACACCAGUGGCGAAGGCGGCUCGCUGGACUGAUACUGACGCUGAGGUGCGAAAGCGUGGGGAGCAAACAGGAUUAGAUACCCCUGUAGUCCCUGAGCGGGCUGGCAAGGCGCAU
rnacentral:rRNA from 1 species